rnacentral:rRNA from 1 species
AUUGAACGCUGGCGGCAGGCCUAACACAUGCAAGUCGAACGAGUGGCGGACGGGUGAGUAAUGUCUGGGAAACUGCCUGAUGGAGGGGGAUAACUACUGGAAACGGUAGCUAAUACCGCAUACCAUCAGAUGUGCCCAGAUGGGAUUAGCUAGGUGGUGGGGUAACGGCUCACCAAGGCGACGAUCCCUAGCUGGUCUGAGAGGAUGACCGGCAACACUGGAACUGGGACACGGUCCAGACGCCUACGGGAGGCACAAUAGGGGAAUAUUGCACAAUGGGCGCAAGCCUGAUGCGGCCAUGCCGGGGGGAGGAAGAAGGCCUUCGAGCUGAAAAGUAUUUUCAGCGGGGAGGCGUUACCCAAAGAAGAAGCACCGGCUAACUCCGUGCCAGCAGCCGCGGUAAUUC